rnacentral:rRNA from 1 species
GGCGGACGGGUGAGUAAUGCUUAGGAAUCUGCCUAUUAGUGGGGGACAACAUUCCGAAAGGAAUGCUAAUACCGCAUACGCCCUACGGGGGAAAGCAGGGGAUCUUCGGACCUUGCGCUAAUAGAUGAGCCUAAGUCAGAUUAGCUAGUUGGUGGGGUAAAGGCCUACCAAGGCGACGAUCUGUAGCGGGUCUGAGAGGAUGAUCCGCCACACUGGGACUGAGACACGGCCCAGACUCCUACGGGAGGCAGCAGUGGGGAAUAUUGGAACAAUGGGCGAAAGCCUGAUCCAGCCAUGCCGCGUGUGUGAAGAAGGCCUUUUGGUUGUAAAGCACUUUAAGCGAGGAGGAGGCUACUUAGAUUAAUACUCUAGGAUAGUGGACGUUACUCGCAGAAUAAGCACCGGCUAACUCUGUGCCAGCAGCCGCGGUAAUACAGAGGGUGCGAGCGUUAAUCGGAUUUACUGGGCGUAAAGCGUGCGUAGGCGGCUUUUUAAGUCGGAUGUGAAAUCCCUGAGCUUAACUUAGGAAUUGCAUUCGAUACUGGGAAGCUAGAGUAUGGGAGAGGAUGGUAGAAU